rnacentral:rRNA from 1 species
AGCAGGCACGCAAAUUACCCACUCCCAGCACGGGGAGGUAGUGACGAAAAAUAACGAUACGGGACUCAUCCGAGGCCUCGUAAUCGGAAUGAGUACACUUUAAAUCCUUUAACAAGGAUCAAUUAGAGGACAAGUCUGGUGCCAGCACCCGCGGUAAUUCCAGCUCUAAUAGCGUAUAUUAAAGUUGUUGCGGUUAAAAAGCUCGUAGUUGGUUCUGUGUGCCAUGCUGUUGGUUCACCGCCUGCCGGUGCAACUGACAUGUCAUGGGACGUACUGUCGGUGGCUAUUAAGGCCCUAUUCUUUUGAUUUAGGUAAAACUUUAUCAAAGGGGUAGGUAACCUGUAAUAGCCGGUUAACUCCCACCGCGGUGCUCUUUACUGAGUGUCGAGGUGGGCCGACAUUUUUACUUUGAACAAAUUAGAGUGCUCAAAGCAGGCAAAAAUUUGCCUGAAUAGUGGUGCAUGGAAUAAUAGAAUAGGACCUUGGUUCUAUUUUGUUGGUUUUUAAGAAUCCAAGGUAAUGAUCAAUAUGGACAGGCGGGGGCAUUCGUAUUGUGACGUUAGAGGUGAAAUUCUUGGAUCGUCGCAAGACGAACUAGAGCGAAAGCAUUUGCCAAGUAUGUCUUAAUUGAUCAAGAACGAAAGUUAGAGGAUCGAAGGCGAUCAGAUACCGCCCUAGUUCUAACCAUAAACGAUGUCAGCCAGCGAUCCGUCGAUGUUUUUUUCAUGACUCGACGGGCAGCUUCCGGGAAACCAAAGCUUUUGGAUUCCGGGGGAAGUAUGGUUGCAAAGCUGAAACUUAAAGGAAUUGACGGAAGGGCACCACAAGAAGUGGAGCUUGCGGUUCAAUUUGACUCAACACGGGAAACCUCACUAGACCCAGACAUUUGGAGGAUUGACAGAUUGAUAGCUCUUUCUUGAUUAAGUGGGUAGUGGUGCAU